AUUGUGAACAUGGCCAGCCCUGACUCAACCCGAUAAGGCCUCCAUGUCAACUUUUAAGAUUCCGGCGGAUGGGCGUUGACCUAUGCUUGUCUUUCAGCUGCUGAUGAGAAGCCUCUAAAGUCUUUACAGAAAAGUGACUUAUUCACAAUUGGUUUCCAGCGUGUGAGAGUGAACCAGCACAAGCAGUGGGAAGCAGCAAAGGGAGAGGGAGAAGCAGGCUCUCCUCUGAGCGGGGACUGA
rnacentral:lncRNA from 1 species